AACGAACGCUGGCGGCAGGCUUAACACAUGCAAGUCGAGCGCCCCGCAAGGGGAGCGGCUGACGGGUGAGUAACGCGUGGGAAUCUACCCAUCUCUACGGAAUAGCGCAUGGAAACGUGUGCUAAUACCGUAUACGUCCUUCGGGAGAAAGAUUUAUCGGAGAUGGAUGAGCCCGCGUUGGAUUAGCUAGUUGGUGGGGUAAAGGCCUACCAAGGCGACGAUCCAUAGCUGGUCUGAGAGGAUGAUCAGCCACACUGGGACUGAGACACGGCCCAGACUCCUACGGGAGGCAGCAGUGGGGAAUAUUGGACAAUGGGCGCAAGCCUGAUCCAGCCAUGCCGCGUGAGUGAUGAAGGCCCUAGGGUUGUAAAGCUCUUUCACCGGUGAAGAUAAUGACGGUAACCGGAGAAGAAGCCCCGGCUAACUUCGUGCCAGCCGCCGCCGUAAUAC
rnacentral:rRNA from 1 species